AUACCUUUCUCGGCCUUUUGGCUAAGAUCAAGUGUAGUAUCUGUUCUUAUCAGUUUAAUAUCUGAUAUGUGGGCCAUGUGCCCACUUUGAUAUUAAAUUUAUCUUUUGUGGGGGAGGGGCCGUCACAGUGGCUUGCCACUGGGUCCCUCGAGCGUCGCUCAGCCGUUGCACUGCUGACCGGGCCUGGCGCACCCAAC
rfam:Sorghum bicolor cultivar BTx623 chromosome 4, whole genome shotgun sequence.